UGGAAAAGUCUGAGUACAUGUGAAUAAACACAGUGUAGGAGCUCUUGCAAAUACUGUCAACUUUUGGGAACACACAUUAUUCAUCAACUUCUCAAUUUGGACAUAUCAUGGACAGUUGUUCUGAAAUUGGAUAUUAAUUGCGAGAGGAAACUAGUACUGCAUGUGGACAUUAGCUCUCGGCAUCAGUUGAACAGAAGACAAUGGGCAUUUUUUCUGCACAAUUGCCUAAAUGUUUUUCGUAUAUUUCAUAGCACAAUGCUCUCUAUUUGGGAGGCAAUGUGAUAAAUAGGUAUCAACAGACAACCAGCUACUGCAUUGUGGAAAGGCUUCUACAUUGCAUAGAUCAGCUAAUGCUUUUAACCAUUGACUGGAACAUAUAUUGCCCUGUAAUGUUUGUUUACCUCCAAAGCCAACAGUUAAACAUCCUUGCGUGCUUCACCUAA